GCCAGGUGCAGUGGCUCACACCUGUAAUCCCAGUGGCUUGGGAGGCUGAGGCAGGAGGAUCAUGAGUUCAAAGCCAGCCACAGCAAAAGUGAAGUGCUAAGCAACUCAGUGAGACCCUGUUUCUA
rnacentral:sRNA from 1 species